rnacentral:rRNA from 1 species
GUGGGGAAUAUUGCACAAUGGGGGAAACCCUGAUGCAGCCAUGCCGCGUGUGUGAAGAAGGCCUUCGGGUUGUAAAGCACUUUCAGCGAGGAGGAAAGGUCAGUAGCUAAUAUCUGCUGGCUGUGACGUUACUCGCAGAAGAAGCACCGGCUAACUCCGUGCCAGCAGCCGCGGUAAUACGGAGGGUGCAAGCGUUAAUCGGAAUUACUGGGCGUAAAGCGCACGCAGGCGGUUGGAUAAGUUAGAUGUGAAAGCCCCGGGCUCAACCUGGGAAUUGCAUUUAAAGCUGUCCAGCUAGAGUCUUGUAGAGGGGGGUAGAAUUCCAGGUGUAGCGGUGAAAUGCGUAGAGAUCUGGAGGAAUACCGGUGGCGAAGGCGGCCCCCUGGACAAAGACUGACGCUCAGGUGCGAAAGCGUGGGGAGCAAACAGGAUUAGAAACCCGGGUAGUCC